UCGGAUAUGGUGUAACGGCUAACAUUGCCGCCUCUCAUGUUGUGCACCAUCUGAGGCACGCGGCAGCUCGGGGUUCGAUUCCCCGUAUCCGAA